rnacentral:rRNA from 1 species
UACGAAGGGGGCUAGCGUUGCUCGGAAUUACUGGGCGUAAAGCGCACGUAGGCGGCCAACUAAGUCGGAUGUGAAAUCCCCAGGCUUAACCUGGGAAUUGCAUCCGAUACUGGAUGGCUUGAAUCCGGGAGAGGGAUGCGGAAUUCCAGGUGUAGCGGUGAAAUGCGUAGAUAUCUGGAGGAACACCGGUGGCGAAGGCGGCAUCCUGGACCGGCAUUGACGCUGAGGAGCGAAAGCCAGGGGAGCAAACGGG